rnacentral:misc_RNA from 1 species
GAUGAAGAACGCAGCGAAAUGCGAUAAGUAAUGUGAAUUGCAGAAUUCAGUGAAUCAUCGAAUCUUUGAACGCACAUUGCGCUCAUUAGUAUUCUAGUGGGCAUGCCUGUUCGAGCGUCAUUAAGUCCACUUAAGCCCUGCUUAGUGUUGGGAGACUGCUCCAGCGGUGCUACCCUGUAGCUACCCUGCAGCUCCUCAAAGACAGCGGCGGAGUUGUGGUAUCCUCUGAGCUUAGUAACUUGUUCUAGCUUUCGAGUACAUCACUUCCCCUGCCGUAAAACCCUUAAUUUUUAAUGGUUGACCUCGGAUCAGGUAGGAAUACCCGCUGAACUUAAGCAUAUCAAUAAGCGGAGGA